GUGCUCGCUUUGGCAGCACAUACACUAAAAUUGGAAUGAUACAUAGAAGAUUACCGUGGCCCCUGCACAAGAAUGACACACAAAUUCAUGUAGCGUCCCAUAUUUUU